rnacentral:rRNA from 1 species
AGAAUCAACGCUGGCGGCGUGCCUAACACAUGCAAGUCGAACGAGAAAGUGGAGCAAUCCAUGAGUAAAGUGGCGCACGGGUGAGUAACACGUGACUAACCUACCCUUGAGUGGGGGAUAACCUACGAGAAAUCGUGGGCUAAUUACCGCAUAAUACCUUCGGGUCGAAAGGAGCAAUUCGCUUAAGGAGGGGUCGCGGCCGAUUAGUUAGUUGGCGGGGUAAUGGCCCACAAGACUAUGAUCGGUA